GCUGCGGCAAAAUCCGCAGCCGGAAUUGGCGUUCCGAACAAAAGUCUGGGGCCUGAAUAUACGCGUCAUGCGUAUUGUUA
rfam:Serratia sp. DD3 SRDD_contig000044, whole genome shotgun sequence.